rnacentral:rRNA from 1 species
CAUGCAAGUCGAACGGUUAAAGCAUCUUCGGAUGUGUAUAAAGUGGCGAACGGCUGAGUAACACGUGGGCAACCUGCCCUUUGCACUGGGAUAGCCUCGGGAAACCGAGGUUAAUACCGAAUACUCCAUAUUUGUCGCAUGGCGAAUAUGGGAAAGCUCCGGCGGCAAAGGAUGGGCCCGCGGCCUGUUAGCUAGUUGGUGGGGUAGUGGCCUACCAAGGCAAUGAUGGGUAGCCGGGUUGAGAGACCGACCGGCCAGAUUGGGACUGAGACACGGCCCAGACUCCUACGGGAGGCAGCAGUGGGGAAUCUUGCACAAUGGGCGAAAGCCUGAUGCAGCGACGCCGCGUGCGGGAUGAAGGCCUUCGGGUUGUAAACCGCUUUCAGCAGGGACGAGGCCGCAAGGUGACGGUACCUGCAGAAGAAGCCCCGGCUAACUACGUGCCAGCAGCCGCGGUAAUACGUAGGGGGCAAGCGUUAUCCGGAUUCAUUGGGCGUAAAGCGCGCGUAGGCGGUCUGUUAGGUCAGGAGUUAAAUCUGGGGGCUCAACCCCUAUCCGCUCCUGAUACCGGCAGGCUUGAGUCUGGUAGGGGAAGAUGGAAUUCCAAGUGUAGCGGUGAAAUGCGCAGAUAUUUGGAAGAACACC